UUCUCCAGUCGUCUGAUUAGGGGAUUUUUAUAUACACCAUUUGUUGAUUAAAAAAAAAAAAACAAAAUUAGGAGGAGCGUACUUGCUAGAAAAUUUAAAUUUAAAUAAACUUGUGUGUUAUCUUGAAAUGUUUUUAGCUAGCUUUGUAAUAAAAAACAUUUUAAUUGCCCUUUUUUUUAAAAAAAAUGAAAGUUGAAUGAGAAUCUAAUUUGUGUACUUUAAUGAAAAAUGAAAAGUUUUCUCAGUGUUGUGAUUUUCUGUGAAUUGCAGUUGAAUGGCGGUGGGGACGUAGCAAUGCUUGAACUUACAGGACAGAAUUUCACUCCAAAUUUACGAGUGUGGUUUGGGGAUGUAGAAGCUGAAACUAUGUACAGGUGUGGAGAGAGUAUGCUCUGUGUCGUCCCAGACAUUUCUGCAUUCCGAGAAGGUUGGAGAUGGGUCCGGCAACCAGUCCAGGUUCCAGUAACUUUGGUCCGAAAUGAUGGAAUCAUUUAUUCCACCAGCCUUACCUUUACCUACACACCAGAACCAGGGCCACGGCCACAUUGCAGUGCAGCAGGAGCAAUCCUUCGAGCCAAUUCAAGCCAGGUGCCCCCUAAUGAAUCAAACACAAACAGCGAGGGAAGUUACACAAACGCCAGCACAAAUUCAACCAGUGUCACAUCAUCUACAGCCACAGUGGUAUCCUAACUACCGUCUUUUUGCUAGGACUUAAACUGACUUGAGUGUGGCAAAAAGUUAACAGAAAAGGAGGAAAAAUGAACAAUCGUUUGUGGUUUCUUGGGAAAACUUUUCAUACCAGGUGAUACUAUUCAAAAACCCCGUUAUCUCUCUGCAAGUGCUGAUUUGAAAUGCAG
rnacentral:sRNA from 1 species